rnacentral:rRNA from 1 species
ACGAACGCUGGCGGCGUGCUUAACACAUGCAAGUCGAGCGAUGAAGCACCUUCGGGUGUGAAUUAGCGGCGAACGGGUGAGGAACACGUGAGAAAUCUGCCUUCAACUCUGGGAUAACUCCGUGAAAACGGGGCUAAUACCGGAUAUGAGAUCUACAGGCAUCUGUGGAUCUGGAAAGUUUUUCGGUUGAAGAUGAUCUCGCGGCCUAUCAGCUUGUUGGUGAGGUAAUGGCUCACCAAGGCGACGACGGGUAGCCGGCCUGAGAGGGCGACCGGCCACACUGGGACUGAGACACGGCCCAGACUCCUACGGGAGGCAGCAGUGGGGAAUAUUGGGCAAUGGAGGAAACUCUGACCCAGCGACGCCGCGUGCGGGAUGAAGGCCUUCGGGUUGUAAACCGCUUUCAGCAGGGAAGAAGCGAAAGUGACGGUACCUGCAGAAGAAGCACCGGCUAACUAUGUGCCAGCAGCCGCGGUAAUACAUAGGGUGCAAGCGUUGUCCGGAAUUAUUGGGCGUAAAGAGCUCGUAGGUGGUUCGUCACGUCGGAUGUGAAACUCUGGGGCUUAACCCCAGACCUGCAUUCGAUACGGGCGAGCUUGAGUAUGGUAGGGGAGUCUGGAAUUCCUGGUGUAGCGGUGGAAUGCGCAGAUAUCAGGAGGAACACCAAUGGCGAAGGCAGGACUCUGGGCCAUUACUGACACUGAGGAGCGAAAGCGUGGGGAGCGAACAGGAUUAGAUACCCUGGUAGUCCACGCCGUAAACGGUGGGCACUAGUUGUGGGGACCUUCCACGGUCUCUGCGACGCAGCUAACGCAUUAAG